AGGUGGCCCAGCAGGAAUCCUCUCGUGACUGGAGUCAGAGUUUGCACAGACUCCUAAGAGUGGCACACAGUGACUUAGGAGGGAGGAAGUCAUAAAUUCUGCUGUGAAAACAGGGAGCAUUUGUUACCACUGAAGGAUGUAUGGGAGUCAUCGGUGGAAGGAAUGGAAAAAUGAGGAAGAAAUAUGUGAUUGAAGGGAAGGGCAGGAAACAGGCAUGAGUCAACAGGGAAGAUGUCUUCUGUAGGCAACGUGUUUUCCAGACUUAGAGAGACUUUGAUUUGUGGACAACAAGACUAUAGGCAGUUCCGUCUGCUUGUAGUUUAGUAUUAUGUUGAUAAUUUGGGUUCUGGAUGUUUUAUUAUAGUGUCCCUGUCCUUAUUCAACCUGUACAUACUAAUUAUGGGAUGGGACUCUUUUCUAUGUUGGUCUUAUGAUGACAAAGAGAAGGGAAGGUUUGGGUCUCAUAGUUUCAAUAAUGUUCUUUGGAUCCCCGGAGGGUUUCUAGAAGACUCAGCUCUC